rnacentral:rRNA from 1 species
AGAAUAACAAGGAUUCCCCUAGUAACUGCGAGUGAAGCGGGAAAAGCUCAAAUUUAAAAUCUGGCGGUCUUUGGCCGUCCGAGUUGUAAUUUAGAGAAGCGUCUUCCGCGCCGACCGUGCACAAGUCUCCUGGAAUGGAGCGUCAUAGAGGGUGAGAAUCCCGUCUUUGGCACGGAUGCCCGGUGCUUCUGUGAUGCGCUCUCGAAGAGUCGAGUUGUUUGGGAAUGCAGCUCAAAAUGGGUGGUGAACUCCAUCUAAAGCUAAAUAUUGGCGAGAGACCGAUAGCGAACAAGUACCGUGAGGGAAAGAUGAAAAGCACUUUGGAAAGAGAGUGAAACAGUACGUGAAAUUGUUGAAAGGGAAACGCUUGAAGUCAGUCGCGUCGACCGAGACUCAGCCUUGCCUCGGCUUGGUGUACUUCUCGGCCCGACGGGUCAGCGUCAAUUUUGCUCCUCGGAUAAUGGCAAGGGAAAGGUGGCACCUUUACGGGUGUGUUAUAGUCUCCUGUCGCAUGCGAGGGUUGGGAUUGAGGAACUCAGCGCGCACCUUGGUGUCGGGGCUUCGGCCCACGUCACGCGCUUAGGAUGCUGGCGUAAUGGCUUUAAACGACCCGUCUUGAAACACGGACCAAGGAGUCCAACACACCCGCGAGUGUUCGGGUGGAAAACCCGUGCGCGUAAUUAAAGUGAAAGUUGGGACCUCUGUCGUGGAGGGCACCGACGCCCGGACCAGACCUUCUGUGACGGAUCUGCGGUAGAGCGUGUGUGUUGGGACCCGAAAGAUGGUGAACUAUGCCUGAAUAGGGUGAAGCCAGAGGAAACUCUGGUGGAGGCUCGUAGCGAUUCUGACGUGCAAAUCGAUCGUCAAAUUUGGGUAUAGGGGCGAAAGACUAAUCGAACCAUCUAGUAGCUGGGUUCCUGCCGAA